rnacentral:rRNA from 1 species
UACGGGGGGAGCAAGCGUUGUUCGGAUUUACUGGGCGUAAAGGGCGCGUAGGCGGUCGUGACAAGUCACUUGUGAAAUCUCCGGGCUUAACUCGGAACGGUCAAGUGAUACUGUCGGACUAGAGUACAGAAGGGGCAACUGGAAUUCUCGGUGUAGCGGUGAAAUGCGUAGAUAUCGAGAGGAACACCUGCGGCGAAGGCACUCUACUGGGCCAUUACUGACACUGAGAGACGAAAGCUAGGGGAGCAAAUGGG